AGGCGAAAAGAACCCCGGCGAGGGGAGUGAAAAAGAACCUGAAACCGUGUACGUACAAGCAGUGGGAGCACAGGUUUACCUGUGUGACUGCGUACCUUUUGUAUAAUGGGUCAGCGACUUAUAUUCUGUAGCAAGGUUAACCGAAUAGGGGAGCCGGAGGGAAACCGAGUCUUAACCGGGCGUUAAGUUGCAGGGUAUAGACCCGAAACCCGGUGAUCUAGCCAUGGGCAGGUUGAAGGUUGGGUAACACUAACUGGAGGACCGAACCGACUAAUGUUGAAAAAUUAGCGGAUGACCUGUGGCUGGGGGUGAAAGGCCAAUCAAACCGGGAGAUAGCUGGUUCUCCCCGAAAGCUAUUUAGGUAGCGCCUCGUGAAUUCAUCUCCGGGGGUAGAGCACUGUUUCGGCUAGGGGGCCAUCCCGGCUUACCAACCCGAUGCAAACUGCGAAUACCGGAGAAUGUUAUCACGGGAGACACACGGCGGGUGCUAACGUCCGUCGUGAAGAGGGAAACAACCCAGACCGCCAGCUAAGGUCCCAAAGUCAUGGUUAAGUGGGAAACGAUGUGGGAAGGCCCAGACAGCCAGGAUGUUGGCUUAGAAGCAGCCAUCAUUUAAAGAAAGCGUAAUAGCUCACUGGUCGAGUCGGCCUGCGCGGAAGAUGUAACGGGGCUAAACCAUGCACCGAAGCUGCGGCAGCGACGCUUAUGCGUUGUUGGGUAGGGGAGCGUUCUGUAAGCCUGCGAAGGUGGCCUGUGAGGGUUGCUGGAGGUAUCAGAAGUGCGAAUGCUGACAUAAGUAACGAUAAAGCGGGUGAAAAGCCCGCUCGCCGGAAGACCAAGGGUUCCUGUCCAACGUUAAUCGGGGCAGGGUGAGUCGACCCCUAAGGCGAGGCCGAAAGGCGUAGUCGAUGGGAAACGGGUUAAUAUUCCCGUACUUGGUGUUACUGCGAAGGGGGGACGGAGAAGGCUAUGUUGGCCGGGCGACGGUUGUCCCGGUUUAAGCGUGUAGGUGUGUGUUCCAGGUAAAUCCGGUUCACUUUAACACUGAGGCGUGACGACGAGGCACUACGGUGCUGAAGCAACAAAUGCCCUGCUUCCAGGAAAAGCCUCUAAGCAUCAGGUAACAUCAAAUCGUACCCCAAACCGACACAGGUGGUCAGGUAGAGAAUACCAAGGCGCUUGAGAGAACUCGGGUGAAGGAACUAGGCAAAAUGGUGCCGUAACUUCGGGAGAAGGCACGCUGACACGUAGGUGAAGUGAUUUACUCAUGGAGCUGAAGUCAGUCGAAGAUACCAGCUGGCUGCAACUGUUUAUUAAAAACACAGCACUGUGCAAACACGAAAGUGGACGUAUACGGUGUGACGCCUGCCCGGUGCCGGAAGGUUAAUUGAUGGGGUCAGCGCAAGCGAAGCUCCUGAUCGAAGCCCCGGUAAACGGCGGCCGUAACUAUAACGGUCCUAAGGUAGCGAAAUUCCUUGUCGGGUAAGUUCCGACCUGCACGAAUGGCGUAAUGAUGGCCAGGCUGUCUCCACCCGAGACUCAGUGAAAUUGAACUCGCUGUGAAGAUGCAGUGUACCCGCGGCAAGACGGAAAGACCCCGUGAACCUUUACUAUAGCUUGACACUGAACAUUGAGCCUUGAUGUGUAGGAUAGGUGGGAGGCUUUGAAGUGUGGACGCCAGUCUGCAUGGAGCCGACCUUGAAAUACCACCCUUUAAUGUUUGAUGUUCUAACGUGGACCCGUUACCCGGGUUGCGGACAGUGUCUGGUGGGUAGUUUGACUGGGGCGGUCUCCUCCUAAAGAGUAACGGAGGAGCACGAAGGUUGGCUAAUCCUGGUCGGACAUCAGGAGGUUAGUGCAAUGGCAUAAGCCAGCUUGACUGCGAGCGUGACGGCGCGAGCAGGUGCGAAAGCAGGUCAUAGUGAUCCGGUGGUUCUGAAUGGAAGGGCCAUCGCUCAACGGAUAAAAGGUACUCCGGGGAUAACAGGCUGAUACCGCCCAAGAGUUCAUAUCGACGGCGGUGUUUGGCACCUCGAUGUCGGCUCAUCACAUCCUGGGGCUGAAGUAGGUCCCAAGGGUAUGGCUGUUCGCCAUUUAAAGUGGUACGCGAGCUGGGUUUAGAACGUCGUGAGACAGUUCGGUCCCUAUCUGCCGUGGGCGCUGGAGAACUGAGGGGGGCUGCUCCUAGUACGAGAGGACCGGAGUGGACGCAUCACUGGUGUUCGGGUUGUCAUGCCAAUGGCACUGCCCGGUAGCUAAAUGCGGAAGAGAUAAGUGCUGAAAGCAUCUAAGCACGAAACUUGCCCCGAG
rnacentral:rRNA from 1 species